rnacentral:rRNA from 1 species
GAUGAACGCUAGCGGCAGGCCUAAUACAUGCAAGUCGAACGGUUGUAGCAAUACAAUAGUGGCGCACGGGUGCGUAACGCGUAACCAACCUACCCGAAUCUGGGGGAUAGCCCGCCGAAAGGCGGAUUAAUACCGCAUAAAACUGCAGCGCGGCAUCGCAUAACAGUUAAAGAUUUAUUGGAUUCGGAUGGGGUUGCGUGCCAUUAGCUAGUUGGAGAGGUAACGGCUCACCAAGGCGACGAUGGCUAGGGGGAGCUGAGAGGCUGGUCCCCCCA